CAGAAUUAAUGGAGAAAAAAGACCCUGUUGAGCUUGACUCUAGUUCGACUUUGUGAAAUGACUUGAGAGGUGUAGUAUAAGUGGGAGCCGAAAGGAAAAAGUGAAAUACAACUACUUUUAACGUUAUUUUACUUAUUUCAUUAAUUGAAAGAGGGGCACUGCCCUUAUUUUUGGACCCAAGGUUCACACUGUGGGCUGAUCUGAGCGAAAGACAUUUUCAGGUAUGGAAUUUGGAUGGGGUGGCACAUCUGUUAAAUGAUAACAUAGGUGUCAUAUGAUGAUUUCAACGAGAACAAAAAUCUCGCGUGAAACAGAAGGGUAGAAACUUAUUUGAUUCUAAUUUCUAGUAUGAAUAUUAAUCAUGAAAGCGUGGCCUAAGAAUCCUUUAGACCUUUGGAAUUUGAAGCUAGAGGUGUUAGAAAAGUUACCACAUGGAUAACUGGCUUAUGACAACCAAACGUUCAUAGCGACAUUGCUUUUUGAUCCUUUGAUGUCGGUUUUUACUAUCAUUAUGAAGCAGAAUUAACAAAGUGUUAGCUUGUUCACCCACCAAUAGGGAAUAUAAGCUGGGUUUAGACCAUUGUGAGACAGGUGAGUUUUACCUUACUGAUGAUAGUGUCUCAAUAGUAAUUCAACCUAGUAUGAGAGGAACCAUUGAUUCGUACAAUUCGUCAUUGCUCUUGGUUUAAAAGCCAGUGGCGCAAAACUAUCAUGUGCUGGAUUAUGACUAAAUGCCUCUAAGUUAGUAUCCAGGUUAGAAGUGAUGCAUGCAUUCGUCGUCCACUUGCGGACCCAUAGUAGGGGCCUUGACACCCAAGAAAAUGUGUCGUUGGCUAAGCCAUCGCGGUGAAAGGGUUUUGGUAACCGCCUUUAAGUAUAAUUUCCAUCGAGCGGCAGGAAGAAUCCUUUGCAGAUGACUUAAAUAUGCGAUGGGGUAUUGUAAGUGGAAGAGUGGCCUUGCUGCCAUGAUCCACUGAGAUUCACCCCUUUGUCACUCUAGUUC
rnacentral:ncRNA from 1 species